rnacentral:rRNA from 1 species
GGUUAAGCGACUAAGCGUACACGGUGGAUGCCCUGGCAGUCAGAGGCGAUGAAGGACGUGCUAAUCUGCGAUAAGCGUCGGUAAGGUGAUAUGAACCGUUAUAACCGGCGAUUUCCGAAUGGGGAAACCCAGUGUGAUUCGUCACACUAUCAUUAACUGAAUCCAUAGGUUAAUGAGGCGAACCGGGGGAACUGAAACAUCUAAGUACCCCGAGGAAAAGAAAUCAACCGAGAUUCCCCCAGUAGCGGCGAGCGAACGGGGAGCAGCCCAGAGCCUGAAUCAGUGUGUGUGUUAGUGGAAGCGUCUGGAAAGGCGCGCGAUACAGGGUGACAGCCCCGUACACAAAAAUGCACAUGCUGUGAGCUCGAUGAGUAGGGCGGGACACGUGGUAUCCUGUCUGAAUAUGGGGGGACCAUCCUCCAAGGCUAAAUACUCCUGACUGACCGAUAGUGAACCAGUACCGUGAGGGAAAGGCGAAAAGAACCCCGGCGAGGGGAGUGAAAAAGAACCUGAAACCGUGUACGUACAAGCAGUGGGAGCACGCUUAGGCGUGUGACUGCGUACCUUUUGUAUAAUGGGUCAGCGACUUAUAUUCUGUAGCAAGGUUAACCGAAUAGGGGAGCCGAAGGGAAACCGAGUCUUAACUGGGCGUUAAGUUGCAGGGUAUAGACCCGAAACCCGGUGAUCUAGCCAUGGGCAGGUUGAAGGUUGGGUAACACUAACUGGAGGACCGAACCGACUAAUGUUGAAAAAUUAGCGGAUGACUUGUGGCUGGGGGUGAAAGGCCAAUCAAACCGGGAGAUAGCUGGUUCUCCCCGAAAGCUAUUUAGGUAGCGCCUCGUGAAUUCAUCUCCGGGGGUAGAGCACUGUUUCGGCAAGGGGGUCAUCCCGACUUACCAACCCGAUGCAAACUGCGAAUACCGGAGAAUGUUAUCACGGGAGACACACGGCGGGUGCUAACGUCCGUCGUGAAGAGGGAAACAACCCAGACCGCCAGCUAAGGUCCCAAAGUCAUGGUUAAGUGGGAAACGAUGUGGGAAGGCCCAGACAGCCAGGAUGUUGGCUUAGAAGCAGCCAUCAUUUAAAGAAAGCGUAAUAGCUCACUGGUCGAGUCGGCCUGCGCGGAAGAUGUAACGGGGCUAAACCAUGCACCGAAGCUGCGGCAGCGACGCUGAUGCGUUGUUGGGUAGGGGAGCGUUCUGUAAGCCUGUGAAGGUGUGCUGUGAGGCAUGCUGGAGGUAUCAGAAGUGCGAAUGCUGACAUAAGUAACGAUAAAGCGGGUGAAAAGCCCGCUCGCCGGAAGACCAAGGGUUCCUGUCCAACGUUAAUCGGGGCAGGGUGAGUCGACCCCUAAGGCGAGGCCGAAAGGCGUAGUCGAUGGGAAACAGGUUAAUAUUCCUGUACUUGGUGUUACUGCGAAGGGGGGACGGAGAAGGCUAUGUUGGCCGGGCGACGGUUGUCCCGGUUUAAGCGUGUAGGCUGGUUUUCCAGGCAAAUCCGGAAAAUCAAGGCUGAGGCGUGAUGACGAGGCACUACGGUGCUGAAGCAACAAAUGCCCUGCUUCCAGGAAAAGCCUCUAAGCAUCAGGUAACAUCAAAUCGUACCCCAAACCGACACAGGUGGUCAGGUAGAGAAUACCAAGGCGCUUGAGAGAACUCGGGUGAAGGAACUAGGCAAAAUGGUGCCGUAACUUCGGGAGAAGGCACGCUGAUAUGUAGGUGAAGCGACUUGCUCGUGGAGCUGAAAUCAGUCGAAGAUACCAGCUGGCUGCAACUGUUUAUUAAAAACACAGCACUGUGCAAACACGAAAGUGGACGUAUACGGUGUGACGCCUGCCCGGUGCCGGAAGGUUAAUUGAUGGGGUCAGCGCAAGCGAAGCUCUUGAUCGAAGCCCCGGUAAACGGCGGCCGUAACUAUAACGGUCCUAAGGUAGCGAAAUUCCUUGUCGGGUAAGUUCCGACCUGCACGAAUGGCGUAAUGAUGGCCAGGCUGUCUCCACCCGAGACUCAGUGAAAUUGAACUCGCUGUGAAGAUGCAGUGUACCCGCGGCAAGACGGAAAGACCCCGUGAACCUUUACUAUAGCUUGACACUGAACAUUGAGCCUUGAUGUGUAGGAUAGGUGGGAGGCUUUGAAGUGUGGACGCCAGUCUGCAUGGAGCCGGCCUUGAAAUACCACCCUUUAAUGUUUGAUGUUCUAACGUUGACCCGUGAUCCGGGUUGCGGACAGUGUCUGGUGGGUAGUUUGACUGGGGCGGUCUCCUCCUAAAGAGUAACGGAGGAGCACGAAGGUUGGCUAAUCCUGGUCGGACAUCAGGAGGUUAGUGCAAUGGCAUAAGCCAGCUUGACUGCGAGCGUGACGGCGCGAGCAGGUGCGAAAGCAGGUCAUAGUGAUCCGGUGGUUCUGAAUGGAAGGGCCAUCGCUCAACGGAUAAAAGGUACUCCGGGGAUAACAGGCUGAUACCGCCCAAGAGUUCAUAUCGACGGCGGUGUUUGGCACCUCGAUGUCGGCUCAUCACAUCCUGGGGCUGAAGUAGGUCCCAAGGGUAUGGCUGUUCGCCAUUUAAAGUGGUACGCGAGCUGGGUUUAGAACGUCGUGAGACAGUUCGGUCCCUAUCUGCCGUGGGCGCUGGAGAACUGAGGGGGGCUGCUCCUAGUACGAGAGGACCGGAGUGGACGCAUCACUGGUGUUCGGGUUGUCAUGCCAAUGGCACUGCCCGGUAGCUAAAUGCGGAAGAGAUAAGUGCUGAAAGCAUCUAAGCACGAAACUUGCCCCGAGAUGAGUUCUCCCUGACUCCUUGAGAGUCCUGAAGGAACGUUGAAGACGACGACGUUGAUAGGCCGGGUGUGUAAGCGCAGCGAUGCGUUGAGCUAACCGGUACUAAUGAACCGUGAGGCUUAACCUU